GAGGGUGUAGCUCAGUGGUAGAGUGCCUGCUUAGCAUGCACGAGGUCCUGGGUUCAAACCCCAUUACCUCCA
rnacentral:tRNA from 1 species